CAUGGCUCAGGAUGAACGCUAGCUACAGGCUUAACACAUGCAAGUCGAGGGGAAACGACAUUGAAGCUUGCUUCGAUGGGCGUCGACCGGCGCACGGGUGAGUAACGCGUAUCCAACCUGCCUCUGACUAAGGGAUAACCCGGCGAAAGUCGGACUAAUACCUUAUGAGGUUUUCUGCAGACAUCUAACGAAAACGAAAGAUUUAUCGGUCAGCGAUGGGGAUGCGUCUGAUUAGCUUGUUGGCGGGGUAACGGCCCACCAAGGCAACGAUCAGUAGGGGUUCUGAGAGGAAGGUCCCCCACAUUGGAACUGAGACACGGUCCAAACUCCUACGG
rnacentral:rRNA from 1 species